rnacentral:rRNA from 1 species
UGCCAGCAGCCGCGGUAAUACGUAGGGGGCAAGCGUUAUCCGGAAUCACUGGGUGUAAAGGGUGCGUAGGCGGUAAGGUAAGUCAGAUGUGAAAACCCAGUGCUCAACAUUGGGACUGCAUUUGAAACUGCCAUACUAGAGUGCAGGAGAGGAAAGUGGAAUUCCUAGUGUAGCGGUGAAAUGCGUAGAUAUUAGGAGGAACACCAGUAGCGAAGGCGACUUUCUGGAAUGUAACUGACGCUGAGGCACGAAAGCGUGGGGAGCGAACAGGAUUAGAUA